GGACACGCAUGAGCUGCACUGAUCCUGAUCCCUUGGCCUGAGGAUGAGAAUCUUCAGGGUCUAUACUUCAUUUCCCAGAGCUGGUGUGGAAUGAGCUCCUUCUGGCUCUGGGAGGAUCACAGGGGUGCCUGCCACCUGCAGCCCAGCCUCAGGCUCCCUCGCCCUUAGGAGAGCUCCUGAAGGCCAUGGGGAGAGGACCAGUGUGUGAUUCCGGGUCAUCUUCUGGCACGGAUGGGAGCUGCAGAACAACAAUGCUAACCACGGUCAUCAUUAAUUUAGUGCUAACCGUAGAAAGACCUGGAGAAUGACCACACCUAAUUUCCAGCCUGAGCUUCUACCUGUAUGCAACGGACACAAAAAUCCUCAGAGGGUUGUUGUGACAAACAAAUGGCACCUGGAGCACCAAGUGACAACCACCAUUAUGGGUUACAAUUAUUACUGAGAAGCAUUCUGAGCGCUUGACUGAGAACUAUCUGCAUAUUCAAUUGCAAAUAGCUCUCAUGUGUUCAUUCCAAUCAUAAUUUUCUUAUUUUGGCCACACUUUUAAAACACUUGAGGGCCAUUUUUUCAUCUUCCCUUUGUUUUGUCAAUCUCUGUACCUUUCCACAGUUACCUUUCCACAAUAUUUUAACUUUCUUGGCUUCUCAUCAAAGAGGCGAGGCCCAGCCCUUUGACAUUUACACUUGAGUGUUUUCUAGGUAUGAAGCCAUCUGACCUUCACGGAAGACCAUCUUUUAUAAAUUCUUCUUUGCUAACCACCACCAUUAGUGCCACCACUUCUCAGCCUUUCAGUCUUGCUUUCAAGCAUUUUUAAAAAAGCCUUAUAAGUGGGAUAGCCUUCUAAAAGCAGAACUUUCAAUUCUGAAGGGGAUCUUGAAAGAGAAUUAGGGGGAGAUGGGAUUUUACUAGCUCCAUUAGUGCUUGCAAAGAGAAACUAUCUUUAAGUCGAAAUUGUCUCCUUGAGUGCCUGGCCGUUUGGUAAGCAUAGGGCAAGGGAAGGCAAUCCCACUUCGAAAGUUCUAAAGGUGAAGCUACACUGAAAAGGCAUCAGUGAAUGGUUCCAUCAUACUUAUAUUUGAGAAAAAAACAUCAGGGACCCAAGUCUUGAUGCAAGCAAACUGUUUAAGUUCUGCAGGCCACAUGGAGGUGGACAUCUAGGUACAAACAAAGACGUGGUUCUACCUGGCCUUUAAUUCUUUCAUUCCUAUGACUGUGUGAUAAUUAUUCAUAAAGACCAUGUGCUUGUCCUUCUGUUUUAGGUUUAAAACCUGGUAGGGCAAAGGACAACACCUGGUUUGUGCCUUUUAGAACCAGUGACACAAAAGGUUUGAGGGCUCCAGUGUAUAGAGAGUAUACCACCCAAAUUUAGCAGUCUCCUGGCCAGUGGACUUAUUUAGUGAGUUGAAGAGUUUAUUUCCAGCCAGCAAUUGGUUGGGUCCUUAGGAUUUAUAAGGCCCAAGAGUAGACACAGAAAUGAACCAAAGACAAUCCUUUCCCUUUAGGAUGAUACAUCUAGUCACUCAAAUCAUAUUGGGAUAUAAAUAAUUAGAAUUGAGAGUAGAAAGUGCAAAGGUCUAUAGCAAAGGGGCAGAUAAACUGGGAUCAUAGAAAAGAGAGCUUAUUCUUAGCUAUGUGCGGAGGGAAGGAUUUAUGGAAAAGGUGGUAUUUGAGGUAGGUGUUACAUGAGUACAUUAUGUACAUGCAGAGAGGGGGUUAGUAUGUUGCUGAAGUAGUUUUAUAAAGGACAUAUGGUUUUACAAAAGGAGUAGUUUGGGAAAUAAAUCUGGGAAGGUGGGGGGUGUCUUGCCAAAGAAGUUUGAGAUCCCAGGGCCCUAACUCAAAGGUUAGAAAUUUAUCAUACAGCUUUUCAUUAGGAACAUGUUGAGUUUGUAAAAUUGCAAAUGUCUGAGCAGGAUUGUCCCCAACAUGUGUGGGGUACAGGUGGGAUUGUAUGAGGGAAGGCCACAUACUUUAUGUCUGAAUAUUUCCAAGUUUUAGAGGAAGCCAUACCCAAGAUCGGGUCAUUGAUACCACCCAUGAGACUGCGCUGGGAUUAAGAGGCUAAAGGAGCCCUGGUUUCCUUGAAGGCCACCCUGCCACUAGAGCUUCAGCAAUCACAAGGAUUUUCAGGGAAAGGGCAGGAGGGAAGCUGGACUCAGGGUGGAACUCCUGGGCAGCAGCUGCGUGUGCCUCCAUCAAGGACAGGGAAGGACUCAGCCCAAGGUCUCUGGGUUACUGGGAAGAAAAAGUUCUCCUACCUCACACUUCCCUUUUCUGAUUCCAGAUUAACAGGAGUUCUAAGCACCACCUAAAAUGAUACCUACCCACUGCACCAAGCAGAGGACAGGAUGGCAGCACAGUUGCCUGGGGAACGCUGCCUAUGCCUCCUCCCACUUCAGGGGCUGCGGCGCAGGGACCUAGAACUAAAGCAGCCUCUUUCUCUGGCUUUGCAGGGCCCAGGCAGCCUGACCUCUCUCAGUCAGAAUUUCAUUCUCUUAUUGUCAUCACUUGCCAAGAUGACAAAAUUCAGCCACUAUGUCCCUGUCCUAUAUGUUGUGUGUGCUCGAUUUGUUAUCAAACUUUAAGACAGGAGGCUG